UACGUAGGGGGCUAGCGUUGUCCGGAAUCAUUGGGCGUAAAGCGCGUGUAGGCGGUUCGAUAAGUCUGCUGUGAAAGUCCAGGGCUCAACCCUGGGAUGCCGGUGGAUACUGUCGAGCUAGAGUACGGAAGAGGCGAGUGGAAUUCCCGGUGUAGCAGUGAAAUGCGUAGAGAUCAUGAGGAAGACCAGUGGCGAAGGCGGGUCUCUGGACAGUUCCUGACACUGAGACACGAAGGCCAGGGGAGCAAACGGG
rnacentral:rRNA from 1 species